UCCCCGGUAGCUCAGCGGUAGAGCAGGCGGUUGUUUCCCGCCGGGUCGAUGGUUCGAAUCCAUUCCCGGGGAGCCA
rnacentral:tRNA from 1 species